UUUUAAUUUUUAAACUCUAUAGAGUAAAGUUUUUGUGCAAUGAGUAUUACUGUUUCUGUGUUUUUCAUAUUCAUUCCCUUUUACAGUAACCUUUUGUAUAUGAGAUUGUAGAUGAAAAUUUAAAUCGUGAUAUUGAAUCUUACCAGAGAAUAAAGAAACCGUUUACCUCAACCAGAGUUAUAUUUCAUAAAAUUAUGUUGACCAUGAUCCAAAUAUUGCCAUGGAUGUGUACUUGUGUCUUAGGCUUAUGCUUUGCAAAAGGUUCACAAUCGCCCUUAAGUUGCUGUGGGUUUUACGGUUUUACUUCCAACCUGACAUAUAAAUGCACUUAGUAUCUGAAGUUAUUUGUCAAUAACUGGUGAUCAGACUAUUUCAAACGAAUACGUUUUUAAGGGCUGAGAAGGUUAGUUUAUUAUCUUUGUUGUAAUAGCUCUAAACUUGACUGUUUCAAUAUUUUCAUUAUAUAUCAUUGCCU
rnacentral:lncRNA from 1 species